CAUUCAACUUGGAUGGUUAUGCCGAAGACAGUCAACGGCAUAACCAUUCAAUUUGCAUGGUUAUGCCGUUGAAUGUCUUCGGCAUAACCAUUCAA